GCGUCAAUGGUGUAAUGGUUUAGCAUUAUUGCCUUCCAAGCAAUAGAUUCCCGGUUCAAUUUCGUGGUUGUCGCA
rnacentral:tRNA from 2 species